GCGUGAGUGAUGAAGGCCUUCGGGUUGUAAAGCUCUGUCGGGAGGGAAGAAGAUCUGACGGUACCUCCCAAGAAAGCACCGGCUAACUCCGUGCCAGCAGCCGCGGUAAUACGGAGGGUGCAAGCGUUGCUCGGAAUUACUGGGCGUAAAAGCGCACGCAGGCGGCCCUGCAAGUCGGAUGUGAAAGCCCCGGGCUCAACCCGGGAACUGCAUUCGAAACUGCUGGGCUUGAGUUCGGAAGAGGGUGGUGGAAUUCCUGGUGUAGAGGUGAAAUUCGUUGAUAUCAGGAGGAACACCGGCGGCGAAGGCGGCCACCUGGUCCGAUACUGACGCUCAUGUGCGAAAGCGUGGGUAGCAAAACAGGAUUAGAUACCCUGGUAGUCCCACGCCGUAAAACGAUGAUAGCUAGGUGUUGGAGGUAUU
rnacentral:rRNA from 1 species